UUAAAGAAAGCGUAACAGCUCACUGGUCUAAACAAGGGUCUUUGCGCCGAAAAUGUACCGGGGCUCAAGCCAUACACCGAAACUGCGGGUGCAUCUUAUGAUGCGCGGUAGCGGAGCGUUCUGUAAGUCUGCGAAGGGAGACCCGCGAGGGCUCCUGGAGAUAUCAGAAGUGCGAAUGCUGACAUGAGUAACGAUAAGGGGGGUGAAAAACCUCCCCGCCGGAAGAUCAAGGUUUCCUGCGCAACGCUAAUCGGCGCAGGGUUAGCCGGCCCCUAAGGCGAGGCCGAAAGGCGUAGCCGAUGGGAACCACGUUAAUAUUCGUGGGCCUGGGAGUGUGUGACGGAUUUCGAAAGUUGUCAUCCCUUAACGGAUUGGGGUGGCAGCCUGGAAGUCCCAGGAAAUAGCCCUCCCGUAUAGACCGUACCCUAAACCGACACAGGUGGAUAGGUAGAGAAUACCAAGGCGCUUGAGAGAACGAUGUUGAAGGAACUCGGCAAAAUACCUCCGUAAGUUCGCGAGAAGGAGGCC
rnacentral:rRNA from 13 species